rnacentral:lncRNA from 1 species
GAAUGUUCCACCCUUUGCUGGUCCUGCACACCAUCGGUCUCAGAAGAUGCUGACUUGGAAGUGAGCCUUUUGUGAUCUUCAGCUGCUGCAGNNNNNNNAGGAAGUUUGCCUAAUAUGCAUGAGGCCCUGGGGUUCAUCGCAGGACUGUAGCACUGUACUACCACCACCUAAAUGAACAAACAAACAAGCAAACACUUCUCUGGAACUUAGGUUUAGACAUUUAGUAUCAUCAGUAUGUCUGGGCCUGGCUUUGGGGUGGAAGCCACAUCCUGCGUUGAACCUGUAGACCAUGAAUAGGUUUCUGAACUACUUGAGCAUGAACUUUUGCAUGACUGGCCACGUGAGCCUUCAGAUGGCAUUUGGUGACUGAAUUGAGAUAGUAGAGGGUAAAUUUGGGAGGUUACAGUUGUCAACAUUUCAGAUAGUUGCAUGGCAUCCCGUGGAAAAUGCAACAGCAAGAACCAAAUACCACAGGCGUGUGCACCACUUCUCCAGCCUCUUCUACUUCACGCUUCUGUCAUCCGGGAUGAAAACUUAAGCACAGUUCUUAUAAAAAUAGCUCACUUGUCCCAAUCUCCUGCUAUAUAUACACUAGACUUGGUCAAACCACAUCCUGCGCGCAGCCUUUGGCUCACUGAACAGCACUCGAAUGCCAUGCAUGAGCUACUGCGUGUCCAGAUGGAAAUAGCACACCCGGACUCAUAGUAAAGACAUUUAUUUUUAGGUGUUAUGAGUGAUAUAUUAGAAUUACACAGAAGGAAAGCUAGACUGGAGGAGAGCAAAGUGAACAACUGAGAUCCCAGCCAUUUUCUAUCUACACCACUACACGUGCUGCCUCUCAUCCUUGGACCACAGUUCAAGGGAUGCUUUCAGGUGGCUUGCUAACGUUACAUUAGCUCUUGUAAUGCACCUGCUACAGCCUUCACUUUUUUCUUUCUCUUCCUUCCUUCCUCCCUUCCUCCAUUCCUUCCUUUCUUCCUUCUUUUCUUUUUUAACACAGGGUCUCUCUCUAUAGCCUAGGUUGGCCUUGAAGUCAUUAUGGAGACCAGACUGUCUAAGAAGUCAUGAUCCUCCAGCCUGAAUAUCCCGAGCGUUAGGAUUAUAGAUAUGCACCACUGAGCCUGGUUCAGGGUUUGGCUGUUACAUACUUCUAGAAGAGCUUAGGUAUCAGUUUAGGUAGGGAUCCAUGUCUGUGCUUGGCGGUUCCUAAAGUGUGAACAAGCUACUUCUUACCUCUUAUCCCUCAGGGCUAUUGUGGGAUAUUUGCCAGAGAAGACUGCUCGGGCAUGGGUUUAAGCCAAUAGAAAGUCUUCAUUGGCCAGCCAGUGACUACAUUGGGUGUUUGAGAUCCCUUUGUAGCAUUAAAUCCUUCUCGGGGUGAGCUUUUAAAGCACCAAAAACAAACAAACAAACAAACAAACAAAAAAACCAACCUAUGUUCUGACAUAUUUUAGUUAACAGGAACAGUUAGCCAGAGCAAAACUACAGAAGCCAUAAAGCAAGGUUAGUACAGUUUGAGACUUUCCCAGAACUGUGGUCUUUGAUGGGUUAGGGCUUUGUUGUAGUUUUGGCAGGUGUUGUCAUCUACGGGCUGAGCUUUGUAGCCUGAAUGGCACUUCCACCAUGGAUUCAGUUGUGUGGGUUCCUGUAACCAGGCAACAUGAAGUUAAAGCACACAGAGGUUUUCUGUGGACCUUUUGUGGAGGUUAGAACUCUUUGCAAUGUAGCACAUUGGACUUUAAGGCACAGUAGAUUAACAUGAUAUCAUCUACGCACAUGCUAUUUGUGCUCCUGACCUGGUGUAAUUGGCUUGAAGUGAGUCACAGAUGUGCAGAAUCUCUCCGAGGGCAGCUCCAGCAGAGGACAGUCCAGCCAGGCGUGGUUCCAGCUGAUGAAGAGGAAAUGGGACUGCCUGUCUGUAGGGCCGUGCUACUCCCUCCUGUCCAGAGCUCAAAAAUGUGUCCCUUUCCUACAGCUGUGGGAGCUGAAGCCUGGAGAGGUCAAGGGUCACAGCUAGAAGACAAAGCUAAUUCACUCCCUUCCUAAACCAGUCCUAAGGACCUGCAAAGACCCUGGAGGGUGUGCUAAGUUAACUACCCAACAGGCAGCUGCUGGACUUCUCUUGCUACCUUGGCUGUCCCUGGACAAAACAACUGUCAAGCAGUCCACUGAGUUACCCUGAAGCUGAUGCUCAUGCUGUUCUUCAUAGAUCUCUUGAGAAAAAAAGUACAAUAAUUGCAGCUGGUUGCUUUGGCUCCCGGAAGUGACACUUUGGGACUUCAGGCCUGGUUCACUUUAUACCAACUUUUUUUUUUUGCAAUGACAAGCCUCAGUGAGCUGUAGAUGGCCCUGCAGCCGUCCCCACCCAGGUGAGAGGAGAAGCACCUCCCCGGGGUAGACCAACUGAAGCACUGAUGAGACUGGAACUCAAGGAAGGGAUGUGCUGAUUGGUACAAAUGUAACCUUCAUUUGCAUGGGAAGUUCGUUGUGAUUGGUGGAAACCACUUCUUCUCUGACUCUAGAAACAGGCGGUUGGGUACACUUGAAUUAGCCUGGAGAUUCCCCACCCCCACCCAAUACUGUCUUUCCCGAUGUUAGAAAAAAACGUGCCUAAAAAGGGCUUCUCUCGGAUGGUCCUUUCUUGUCCAGUUGUAGAAGUGUGGGCUGAGCCUGGAACAGGAUAAAAAUUAGCAGAGAGCAGAGUGACCAUGAUGCAGAGACGGCAACAAAACAGCAGAAGCAGAAAUGGUUGAACAACCUCUUGGCAGGCCAAGCUGCGAAGAGCAGCAAGGCGGCCCACUGCUUGACUGCUUUAGAACAGAGGCUGAGCAGUUUAAGAGAAUGACUUGGGCUGGAGCAAGGGGGAUGGCGGAGGCAGAGAGAAGGUUCAGAACUGAAGAAAAGGAAGACCUUAAGAGUCAGCAAAGAGAAACUGCAGGUUCUGGCCUCCGGAGGAGUUUCUGAGAGUUCUCAAACCUUUCGGGCAAAGGGCCUUGGCCUCUCCAAACCCAGGAACUGUAACAGUGGCCAGUCAUAAGUCAAGGAAUCGUGCAAUACCUGCUUCUGCCAAGUGCCAAGGAGUUCCAUUCUCGUCUUGCACAAAUAGCUGUAACAUGGAAGUUGGGAUCUCCCUAUGGGAGCUCUGCUGGACUGUUCUCGAGGACACUGCCUGCUGCUGCAUCCUACCCCUGGUGCUGGCUCCCUACUGUCAAACCCACAGGGAUGUGACAAAUGUCGAAGACCAGCACUUGAAGAGUUUCUUGCCUAUGCACAAUCUUGGUAGAGGAAAGUUUGGAAUCCCACUAAGCUGAUAGGUAACGAGGGCCUUUAAAAUUCUUCUUUAGGGCAUCUUAUGAUGGGAAACCUGGUUGAAAUAGAAUAUUAAAGCUUCUU